ACGUUAUGUCGGUCAAGAGUAAGUCGACAAAAGUUGGAACUAACACUUAAACAAUAAAUGGAAAGACAAGUACGACUGUUAACGAAGAGGAGAAGUUUACGUAUUCAGAUAGAUGGUCAGAGGUCAAAACUAGAGAAUUGAUAGUAAAAGGUCCCCCGCCAUCUAAGGAACAAAUACAAGCAUUCGUAAACUCCGACGAUGUUAACGAGGAUGCUUUGAAAAAUCUAAGUUUGUAGUCUAAACCUCUGCAGCAAAAGAAAUUUUGCCAAUUAAUAACCAUCAAAAUCCUUCACCAAAUACAUCAUUAAAACAUGGACAACCACCCGGUGAAUAUGCACAACAAGUGUUACACACACAUUAAGAUUAAGAGCUAAACAUGGCGUACCAGCAUUGACCUGCUUAGCUGACUUGUGUGCAAUGGCUCAAAAGUGGGCUGAUCAUCUUCUUGCAAAUAAUUUGACUGGACAUAGUACGGAUGACCAAAAUGUUGGAGCUGGUGAAAAUAUUGCAAAUAGAAUGGGAACAAUGAAAGAUUUAGACUAUUCAGGUAUAAUAAAAUAUAUUGUAAGAAUCACUCACUUUUUGUGGACGCACUGCACUUAUAGUGUUUUUGCCAUGAUUUUUCUUCAACAUUAUAAUAGAAAAACAAAGGAUAUGGGGUAUCCAUUCAUGACACAAAAUCAGUACAUGUCAAGCAAAAAAGUAAAAUAACAAAAAUAACAAACUCCAAGGAAAAUUCAAAACGGAAAGUCCUUUAUAAAUAUAAUAUAUCAGACCACAGAAACACGUGUAAUCUACAAGGAGAAUCAGUAACCAAGUUAAAAUCGAUCUAAGAAUGUAACUUUGGGAUAUCAUUUGUAAUUAUUUGCAAUUAACAUUUUUGAUUUAGCUAAAGAUGCCUCAGAAUCAUGGUACAGUGAAAUAAAAAAUUAUGGAUCAUACUUUGGAAAAGAGCCGCCAGAUUCCGGGCGAGUACCUGCAAAUGGUCACUUUACUCAAGUUGUAUGGAAAGAUACCAAGGAAAUGGGA